GGUUGUGGCUCAGUGGUAGAGUGCUUGCCUAGCAUGUGUGAGGCACUGGGUUCAAUUCUCAGCACCA
rnacentral:tRNA from 1 species